GCGGAAGUAGUUCAGUGGUAGAACACCACCUUGCCAAGUUGGGGGUCGCGGGUUCGAAUCCCGUCUUCCGCUCCA
rnacentral:tRNA from 1 species